CCUGGAGUCUGGUCUCCAUUAAAGGACAGAAAGAAGACAUUAGUCCUGGAGUCUUGUCUCCAUUAGAGAACAGAAAGAAGACAAUAGUCCUGGCGUCUUGUCUCCAUUAGUGGACACAAGGGUGACAUUAGUCCUGGAGUCUCGUCUCCAUUAGAGGACAGAAGGGUGACAUUAGUCCUGGAGUCUGGUCUCCAUUAAAGGACAGAAAGAUGACAUUAGUCCUGGAGUCUUGUCUCCAUUAGAGAACAGAAAGAUGACAUUAAUCCUGGAGUCUUGUCUCAAUUAGAGGACAGAAAGAUGACAUUAGUCCUGGAGACUCGUCUCCAUUAGAAGACAGAAAGAAGACAAUAGUCCUGGCGUCUUGUCUCCAUUAGUGGACACAAGGGUGACAUUAGUCCUGGAGUCUCGUCUCCAUUAGAGGACAGAAGGGUGACAUUAGUCCCGGAGUCUCAUCUCCAUUAGAGGACAGAAAGAAGACAUUAGUCCUGGAGUCUUUCCGAUGUUCCUGUAUUCUCCCAGAAAGAUAAUGAACGACAGCGCAGGAUGAGCAGAGAGCAGAAAUAUUUCGGUGAAGAGCUUUAGACUUUAUUUUCUGCUUGAUAGCUUCUAGUUUCUCCAGCAGCUUCUGAUUCAGGAGGUUAAAAAGUGAUCUUCCACUAUU